rnacentral:lncRNA from 15 species
GUUUAUCUUGCUAGCAGAGGACGAAUCUUGUUGCCUCAUGUGUUCCCUCAGAAACGUCUUUUCACUCAACAAUGAUGGAGUCCUGCUGUUAGCUCUACUAGCCAGCAUCUGAAAAUGUUAGCUGCAGAUAGUUGAAAGCAAUCAUGAUGAUGAUGAUGAUGAUGGUGGAGUAUGUAGAGUUUGUUGUGUUCAAACAUGUUGUUUGGACAUUUCAUACACACAUGCUGGAUGAAAACACCAUUGGUCUUUAAAACCUCUACAAGCAGGAGGAGAAGGAGUUGGUGGCCAGAAACACAACACCAAAUGAAAAUUGAUGUUUUAUGUCUGCUGGAUGUCAGACAAAAAAUCAGACAAAUGACUGAUUGCGAAGCUGGAGGUAUGGAGGCAUGUCCACUUGUUUUUAAGCCAAUCAGUGUAGCUUUAUUCUAAACAAGAAAGCAACUGUCACACCUGUCUUCAAAAUACAACCCUUGAGAUGGUAACAAGAAAACCCUGCAUAUUUGUACACACCAGAGCGUGGCAUCGCUAGUGAACCAAAGUCAGUCAUAUUGUACUGGCCUUUAAAAUGAAGCAGUUACAGUACAAAUCCAGUAUCUCUAUACCGAAGCCUCAACUCUUACAGUCAUGUUAAAUCAGUGCUUGAAGCUUUUUGUACAAUCUCUGGAUUCAGAUGUCAGAAAGCCACUACAGUGAUUCAGUCAGGGCCACAGAGGAGCUUGAUAACAUUUCCAGAGGCCCUGCUUUAAAUGCAGAUUUGUUUUGGUUGCAGCUCUCUGAGCAACAAGGGAGAGGUGCUCCGAAUAAUCAAUAACAUCAACAGUGCCCACUUAGACAGACAGCCUUUCAGUUCAAAGACGGACACUUCCUGAUUCGUCAUGUCAAGUAUGUUAUUCACUAUCUCCUCAACCAGUGACCACAGCUACAUUAACUGCACCCACAGUUUUGUGAUUUUCUGUUCUACAAGAACAAAGCACAUAAAACCUUGACUGAAAUGGACAAAAACCAAAGCGAUGCUGUAGCAGCAGAGCAGAUCUCUCUUUCCAGCUCCAGGUUGAUGACUUUUUCUCAUCCAUCUGGAAAGCCUCAGGAGGAGUAUUUCUUCUUCUCUUCUCCUGUCAUAACAGCAGUCAUUGUAUGAGGGUGACAGCCAUUCUGUCGUUGUGACAAGCGUCACAGGCAACAAUGUAAUGAGACGUGAAGGGAGAGCAGGGAUCUGUGGCACAAAUGUUUGUAACGCAAACAAUAUCAAUCACAGGCAGCUUCUCACUUCUGUCUGUGUUUCUCUGUGUGUGGGUUUUUGUACGUCUGCUACACAGAUGCUAUGCGGGAGAAUGUCUCCCAGGGAUAAAUCCCAGGAUGACUAUUUAGACACAGAGCUGAGCAUAAAAGAGGAAUGCACUGUGGAACAGAAUGAAGCAUAACAGAUUUAACUAUCCCUUGCUGGUCAGGCAGUCUUUGUGUAAAUUCAAACUGUGUGUAUAGGGAUUGCUUUGCAAUAAUUUCCUCAGCUACAGUGACAAAACACAUUACUGGGAUUGGCUGUGCAUGUGUUUGUGACAAAACUACAAUAAAGCUAUUCAGUGAAUUCUGCAGAUACAGCUUUAGGGUAAAAACCUGAUGUGUUGUGUAGUUUUAUAGGGACCAUCAUGACUGCUGAACUCCACACUAGCUUUAAAGGGUUAUAUCAAUGGUUAUGCUCUUUGGUGACUGGCCAAGUAAAUAUAAAACAGUGAUGAAAUGAAACUCAGCCUGAGCCUCAGAGAAAAAGGGAGGUAUAGUUACAAAUCACAGCUGCCACUUUCUCAGCCAGAGAAUUCAGAACUCACAAAGGCACUGCCAGUAAAGAAACACAUACACACAGUUAGUGUGAAACAUUUCAUUUGUCAUGUUUGAACUUUUUGAAUGCUUAGAAAAGCUAAUUUAUCUCCACAUGAAUAAAAAUAGGACUUCAUAUGCCCUGUAGUCCAGACACUUAUUCAACACUCAGAUCCGUGUAAACUUCAAUAAAAGAAUAGAAAUACCACACUGGAAUUUGACUUUGUGUUAUAUUUGAUUAAUUAAUGGGAGUAAAUUUAAAAAUAAAAAACCUACAAAUUCAGGGUCUAGGAUCAAAUAGUUGCUUAUUUUACUACAAGUCUGUUGGUCCAUCCAGUAGACACCCAUUCCCCAGUGCCACGAAUGUUACCGACAGUGUUCUUCAUCUCAGCACUGGGAACUAACACUGUAGACAAAGUAGAAAAACACAUUAUUUAAUAUUUGACACAUAGUCGUCAAUGUGUUUUUUUUUUUCACUCACAUGCAGGCACAUAUAGCUGAAGUGUUGCUUUUUAUUGUUCUUUCUUUUUGAAUGUGUUGUGUGUAGUCAGCUUUUGUCGUUGAAUAUGUGUCAGAUAUCUUCUAAUGAAUUGAAGGCAUAAAGAACAUUUAGGUUAAGUGAAACACUGAAACCACUUACACUGAUAACAUUUAAAUUCACGGACACACCAAUGCUCCACUAUUGUAUCAGAGGCUUUGAAGGACAGAUGGAAGGAUACUGAAGCAUCAGUGAGUGGUCUCUGCUCUGUGCUCCAGCUACCUUUUUCCCUCUGUGUCUCUGGCUGUUAAACAUGUGAACUGGGUAAGAGGGCGGCAGAAAGUGAUCCCCAGGGAAUGGGAAAGGAUUGAAGUGAUGAAACAUGGCUCAUGGAGUGGUGGCCUAAAAAAAUUAAACCACAUACACAAGCGGCUGAAAAGAGGUUUCUCUGUAGGGCAAUAACUUGUCGUGACAGGAUGAGGAGCUCUGCAAUCAGGAGGUACCUUGAGUGAACUGAGUUUCUCCAGCUUCUCAUUGAGGUGAGCUGGUUGAUAUGACUCGGGCAUCGGAU